rnacentral:rRNA from 1 species
CGACGGGAGCUUGCUCCCUUAGGUCAGCGGCGGACGGGUGAGUAACACGUGGGUAACCUGCCUGUAAGACUGGGAUAACUCCGGGAAACCGGGGCUAAUACCGGAUGCUUGAUUGAACCGCAUGGUUCCAAUCAUAAAAGGUGGCUUUUAGCUACCACUUACAGAUGGACCCGCGGCGCAUUAGCUAGUUGGUGAGGUAACGGCUCACCAAGGCGACGAUGCGUAGCCGACCUGAGAGGGUGAUCGGCCACACUGGGACUGAGACACGGCCCAGACUCCUACGGGAGGCAGCAGUAGGGAAUCUUCCGCAAUGGACGAAAGUCUGACGGAGCAACGCCGCGUGAGUGAUGAAGGUUUUCGGAUCGUAAAACUCUGUUGUUAGGGAAGAACAAGUACCGUUCGAAUAGGGCGGCACCUUGAUGGUACCUAACCAGAAAGCCACGGCUAACUACGUGCCAGCAGCCGCGGUAAUACGUAGGUGGCAAGCGUUGUCCGGAAUUAUUGGGCGUAAAGCGCGCGCAGGCGGUUUCUUAAGUCUGAUGUGAAAGCCCCCGGCUCAACCGGGGAGGGUCAUUGGAAACUGGGGAACUUGAGUGCAGAAGAGGAGAGUGGAAUUCCACGUGUAGCGGUGAAAUGCGUAGAGAUGUGGAGGAACACCAG